UUUAUUUGCUGUGAAAAUUGUCUGUGUAUUUUGUUUUAAAAUUCGGUUAAACUUCGCUGUGGUAUUAGAAACAGCAAAGCAGCAAACAGCAGUGAUCGAAUGUUAAUAAGAAAGUGUAAAUAUUUAUAUUUUAGUAAUAUUGUUAAAUAUUAUAAGAACUCGCUUCUUAAGUACAAAAACUAAAAGCAAAAAAAAAAACAAAAAUAAGCAAACGAUAAUCAAAUGUCUCGCCGCCACGUUAUGUAAACGAAAAUCGCAGCAAAAGUAUCUCAUAGAUGCAGCAACAGCAGGCAGCAGGCACCAGGCACAGGCAGCAUCAAACAAAACACCAAAAAGCAACAAAAACAAUAAAAAUAAAAGGCAAUUGAUCAAAUAUUAAUCAAUGCUGCCAGCAUCAAUUUUAAGCUACAUAAUUUGACUACAACAAUAACAAUAAGAACAAUAACAUCAACAACAUCAACAGCAUCAACAACAUCUGUAAUAAUAAUAAUAACAACAACAAGAAGAACAAAGAAUUCAUAAUUAAAAUAGCAAACUCGUUAAGCUGCAGUCAAUAAUUACAAAAUAUUACGUGACUGAUAUACUAAAAAUUUGCGAGUGUAAGGAGUCUUAAUACAGCUUUAACGCUGGCGAACCGACAAGGUACUGUGCCCGUCAUAAUGGAGGGGCCAGAAGUGACGUUUCUCUUUCAAUUCGGCAGCAUACGUGAUGCCGUUUCGGUGGCCGUAAAUGCCUUAACGCUUAAAACAUUAAAGGAUUUGGCAUGCGAAUUUAUCAACACAAAGAUACCAGAUAGUGGACUAACGUACCUAU